rnacentral:rRNA from 1 species
AACGAACGCUGGCGGCAGGCUUAACACAUGCAAGUCGAGCGCCCCGCAAGGGGAGCGGCAGACGGGUGAGUAACGCGUGGGAAUCUACCCAUCUCUACGGAAUAACGCAUGGAAACGUGUGCUAAUACCGUAUACGUCCUUCGGGAGAAAGAUUUAUCGGAGAUGGAUGAGCCCGCGUUGGAUUAGCUAGUUGGUGGGGUAAAGGCCUACCAAGGCGACGAUCCAUAGCUGGUCUGAGAGGAUGAUCAGCCACACUGGGACUGAGACACGGCCCAGACUCCUACGGGAGGCAGCAGUGGGGAAUAUUGGACAAUGGGCGCAAGCCUGAUCCAGCCAUGCCGCGUGAGUGAUGAAGGCCCUAGGGUUGUAAAGCUCUUUCACCGGUGAAGACAAUGACGGUAACCGGAGAAGAAGCCCCGGCUAACUUCGUGCCAGCCGCCGCAUAAAAC